rnacentral:rRNA from 1 species
GACGAACGCUGGCGGCGUGCCUAAUACAUGCAAGUCGAGCGGACAGAUGGGAGCUUGCUCCCUGAAGUCAGCGGCGGACGGGUGAGUAACACGUGGGCAACCUGCCUGUAAGACUGGGAUAACUUCGGGAAACCGGAGCUAAUACCGGAUACGUUCUUUUCUCGCAUGAGAGAAGAUGGAAAGAUGGUUUCGGCUAUCACUUACAGAUGGGCCCGCGGCACAUUAGCUAGUUGGUGAGGUAAUGGCUCACCAAGGCGACGAUGCGUAGCCGCACUGAGCGGGUGAUCGGCCGAACUGGGACUGAGACACGGCCCAGACUCCUACGGGAGGCAGCAGUACGGCAUCUUCCGCAAUGGACGAAAGUCUGACGGAGCAACGCCGCGUGAACGAUGAAGGCCUUCGGGUCGUAAAGUUCUGUUGUUAGGGAAGAGUGAUCAGGAUAGGAAAUGAUCUUGAAGUGACGGUACCUAACCAGAAAGCCACGGCUAACUACGUGCCAGCCGCCGCGGUAACAC